rnacentral:misc_RNA from 1 species
UGAUUGCAGAUUCAGUGAAUCAUCGAAUCUUUGAACGCACAUUGCGCCCCCUGGUAUUCCGGGGGGCAUGCCUGUUCAAGCGUCAUUUCACCACUCAAGCCUCGCUUGGUAUUGGGCAACGCGGUCCGCCGCGUGCCUCAAAUCGUCCGGCUGGGUCUUCUGUCCCCUAAGCGUUGUGGAAACUAUUCGCUAAAGGGUGUUCGGGAGGCUACGCCGUAAAACAACCCCAUUUCUAAGGUUGACCUCGGAUCAGGUAGGGAUACCCGCUGAACUUAAGCAUAUCAAUAAGCGGAGGAAAAUAAGCGGAGGA